CAAAUAUUAACACUUAAAGUGUAGGCCUAAUACUACAAAUAUUAGGCAUAUUGAGCAUUUGUGCUUCUAACAUUAGUUAAUCUAUUUGCUUAGAAAUAUCCCUUUUUAUUUGCUAUUUAUACAAUAAACACAAUUGAAGAAUGUAGGGAGAUCUUUCUGUAGGCCUAUUUCAAUAUCUUACGAUAUUGAAUAUUUAAUGUCCGUUUCUUUUAUGGCCAAACACUGAUUGAAAUAUGCAUUAUAAUGCGCUGGAUUAUAUAGAGGAAAUCCACAUUUGAGUCUGGCCAAUCUCUGCAAACUGUUCUAUUUACACAACAGUAGCGUGCUUCCCAAAAAACGGUCGGUGACUGUUUUGAUAAAAGGGGUGACCCGCGAGGUUGGCUGAUGCCUCCCCUGCUCUCUCUGUACACAACCUCGCGACCCUUGGCACAGCCAGAGAAAACACAGUCUGCACGCAAUGCCGGGUCUGUGGCACAAUGAUUAACCCGUAAAUGUGCUGUCAAUCCGCUUCGUAGCCUGCAAAGCCCGCUGAGAGUUGGAGGGGGUAGACGAGGUUCAUUUGUUUCAUGGCUCGUGUUGCGUGUCAAGCAUUAUAUAUCUUCUUUCACUGUGUUGCUGUAUGUCUGUCUUUGUACACGCGUUUCAUAUUUCCUUUCUUUAUGAUAUCUCCUCUUUAUUUUUUUCCCUCCCACAGUUUGAGUCAGCGUAAAAAAGCGCAUGGCAGCUUCGUGCGUGACAGAAAGAUGGAUGACCGAGAGAUUUCCGCACGCAACAAUUGUUUUUCCCGAGUUUGGGCCGUCUUCAAGUCCAAAGAAAAGACGGAGGCAAACCCUCUCAGAUGAUCAUCCCUAAAACCUAAAACAUCUGCAUAGUGCAUAGUAGGAGGUGUCAUUAGCUUUUUCAGGGUAACAAGUACUGCCCUAAGGGUUUACGUUACUCCAUAGAAUUGGUAAUAACAAAAGUGGUAAUACAGUAAUAACAUGGUAAUAAAACACAGUAAUAACAUAGUAUAAAAAGUAAUAACAUGUUAAUAAAUAAGUGUUGUGUGCUUUGGCAUUGCGUGUAUGAACAAUGGUGAUAUUGUCUCUCUCUCCCCUCCUGUCUCUGUUCAUGCAUGUUUUAUUUUGCUGAGAGUUCAAAGAAGACACUUCCAAACCUCUGGUAGCACAGACUGUUCUGUCUAGUGUUUACAGACUAGAAUAAAAGACUGAGAGAUGAGUGCACCAAUCUGACCUGUCACCUGAGUGGUUAAUUGCUCUAACUACCAGUCUGUGUACAGGGGUUAGUUGACCUCCUCCAUAACAUUCACAAACAACAACACGCCCUCACACACAUGCAAACCCACUCACGAAAAAUGCCCUCACACUCACACACACAUACCUGGUUUGAAGGUGUGUGACAGGUGUUUGGUUGUUGCGUGCCAAAGAACUGAAGACUUCAGCUGCCUUUACAGUCAUUACUCAGAAAGGAAGAUUCUUCAAGGGAAUUUCAAUUUGCUGUGGGCUAAACAGUGUUUUGGUUAUGAUGUGAGCUCUGUAAAUGGACAUCAUGGAUGUAUGUGUGUGACCCUAACAUGACUAAAUAACAGUCUACUCUAACAUUUCUUAUUGAUAUUUGUCACGUUAUUGUCCUCAAUGGCUGCCCUAUAUACAUAGACUUGGAAUCACUGGCCACUUUAAUAAUAGAACACUAGUGACUUUAAUAAUGUUUACAUACUGCUUUACUCAUAUAUGUACAGGAUAUACUGUAUUAUAUUCUACUGGAUUUUAGUCAAUGCCACUCCGACAUUGCUUGAUCUAAUAUUUUAUAUAUUUCUUAAUUCCAUUCUUUUACUUUUAGAUGUGUGUAUUGUUGUGAAUUGUUAGAUACUACUGCACUGAUGGAGCAAGGAACACAAGCAUUUCGCUACAACCGCAAUAACAUAAAUAUGUGUAUGUGACCAAUACAAUUUGAAUUGAAUUCCAUGUAAUUGCAACGGUGAUUGUUAGAUAACCGAACCUGCGUUGCAAUAAGAAGUCAUGCAAAUUGUUGGAGGUCAUUGAGCAAGUCACUAAUGAUGAGCAGAGAGUGGCGUGUAAGCCAUAGCCAUAUGAACAGAGAAGCCUAUUUCAAACGGGUGUGAU
ensembl:lncRNA